GGAGUUGUGGCUCAGUGGUAGAGCACUCACCUAGCACGUGCGAGGCGCUGGGUUCCAUCCUCAACACCA
rnacentral:tRNA from 1 species